AGAGUUUGAUCCUGGCUCGGACGAACGCUGGCGGCGUGCCUAAUACAUGCAAGUCGAGCGGACCGACGGGAGCUUGCUCCCUUAGGUCAGCGGCGGACGGGUGAGUAACACGUGGGUAACCUGCCUGUAAGACUGGGAUAACUCCGGGAAACCGGGGCUAAUACCGGAUGCUUGAUUGAGCCGCAUGGUUUAAUUAUAAAAGGUGGCUUUUAGCUACCACUUACAGAUGGACCCGCGGCGCAUUAGCUAGUUGGUGAGGUAACGGCUCACCAAGGCAACGAUGCGUAGCCGACCUGAGAGGGUGAUCGGCCACACUGGGACUGAGACACGGCCCAGACUCCUACGGGAGGCAGCAGUAGGGAAUCUUCCGCAAUGGACGAAAGUCUGACGGAGCAACGCCGCGUGAGUGAUGAAGGUUUUCGGAUCGUAAAACUCUGUUGUUAGGGAAGAACAAGUACCGUUCGAAUAGGGCGGUACCUUGACGGUACCUAACCAGAAAGCCACGGCUAACUACGUGCCAGCAGCCGCGGUAAUACGUAGGUGGCAAGCGUUGUCCGGAAUUAUUGGGCGUAAAGCGCGCGCAGGCGGUUUCUUAAGUCUGAUGUGAAAGCCCCCGGCUCAACCGGGGAGGGUCAUUGGAAACUGGGGAACUUGAGUGCAGAAGAGGAGAGUGGAAUUCCACGUGUAGCGGUGAAAUGCGUAGAGAUGUGGAGGAACACCAGUGGCGAAGGCGACUCUCUGGUCUGUAACUGACGCUGAGGCGCGAAAGCGUGGGGAGCGAACAGGAUUAGAUACCCUGGUAGUCCACGCCGUAAACGAUGAGUGCUAAGUGUUAGAGGGUUUCCGCCCUUUAGUGCUGCAGCAAACGCAUUAAGCACUCCGCCUGGGGAGUACGGUCGCAAGACCGAAACUCAAAGGAAUUGACGGGGGCCCGCACAAGCGGUGGAGCAUGUGGUUUAAUUCGAAGCAACGCGAAGAACCUUACCAGGUCUUGACAUCCUCUGACAACCCUAGAGAUAGGGCUUCCCCUUCGGGGGCAGAGUGACAGGUGGUGCAUGGUUGUCGUCAGCUCGUGUCGUGAGAUGUUGGGUUAAGUCCCGCAACGAGCGCAACCCUUGAUCUUAGUUGCCAGCAUUCAGUUGGGCACUCUAAGGUGACUGCCGGUGACAAACCGGAGGAAGGUGGGGAUAA
rnacentral:rRNA from 1 species